AACGAACGUUGGCGGCGUGGAUUAGGCAUGCAAGUCGAACGAAGACGGGGUAGCAAUAUCCCGGACUGAGUGGCGAAAGGGGCAGUAAAGCGUGGGUAACCUACCUCUGGGACGGGGAUAGCCUCUCUAACGGGAGGGUAAUACCCGGCGACGUAGCGAAGGGGCAUCUCUUUGCUACCAAAUGAAUUUUGCCCGGAGAGGGGCUCACGUGCUAUUAGCUUGUUGGUGGGGUAACGGCUCACCAAGGCUGAGAUGGCUAGCAGGUGUGAGAGCACGACCUGCGCCACUGGCACUGAGACACUGGCCAGACUCCUACGGGAGGCUGCAGUCGAGGAUCUUGGCAAUGGGCGCAAGCCUGACCAAGCGACGCCGCGUGCGCGAUGAAGGCCU
rnacentral:rRNA from 1 species